UUUAGUGUCAAAUUCUGCCUCGGAGGGCUUCCUGAGCUGCUUCCAAGGUAGGUUUCUGGAUGGCUGAACCCAUGGCAAGCACUUUUCUGAGGAUGCAUGUGACUGACCUACUAACUUUAGAGUCCAGGCUGACCCUCAAACAACUUCCUGGGGCGCUACCAGCUUUAGGAAAAUCGAGAGAGGUUGUUGGGAUGCCCUAAUGUUUUAGAAGUUAAGAUUGAAAUACACAUGGCUGACUUCUUUUUUCAUUCCUAUCAAAUUCAACCUUGCAGUUGAAUCUUGGGCAUCUAGAAGCAUCUUUAAUAGUCAGCCCUCGGGAUACAGAAGAGAACAGAAACAGGACUCUGUGUGAUCCCUGGUUUACUAACCCACAGCAGCCUCACACCCUCCAGAGAAUUCCUUUAAGGGAAUCCCAGGUUUACCAAGGAGGCAGUGCUUAGCCUGCUUUUGCAGACACAUUUGUGUGUGGUUUGCUUCAUUUUUAAUGACUCAUGUGCCACUGACAUCUUUGCAUUAUUAAGUAUUGCCUGCAUGGCCAGCUGAGCACAGGAAGUGGUAUUUCUGUGCGCACUAAUCCUGGGUUGGUGAACCUGGGGUUGGCUGGAGAGCAUGGGUUUGAGCCACCUGGUCCACUCAUCCUCAGGGUCCCAUCCACCCUCAGAGGCCACUCCCAAGCUGCCCAGGCUGUGCAGAAGAUGCAGGAAUGCUGUGAGCAGUGCCACCUCAUGGUACUCGGAGGGAGGUUGUCCGUGGUGAGUUCGCAUUAUUUAAUGAUGCCCAAUACACGGUCGACCUCUUUUCGGUAUCAGAUCUCACCAGGUGUCUUCUUGGACCUGAUGCCGAUUUAGGGGACACCAUACUCAUGUUGGUUCCACACCAGUGCAACUGAACAUGUGUUUGGCCCUGUAACCAAUGGGUAGGUGCUGCUAGCACUCCUAAUCCUCAAUCAGUGCAUUCCUGGGGAAGAAGCAUGUGAUCUGUGCUCAAGACCCCUCUGUGACUGAGGAAGUGGUGGUGCCCAUGUUGCUUCCUGGGUUUUGUAUUUUUUCAAAGAAAAAUAAUAUAUAGUUCUCUUCUCUUUCACUGUUAAAUCUUGUCAUGGAGGAAGGACUUCUUAGACAUGUUGACAAAUUCAGGGAAGGGGCAUUGAUUUCAGUGUUUUUGGGGACUCACUGGAAGGGUGAUUCACCACAUCUGUUGAUCUGGAGGCCACAUCAAAUUUAAGAACAGAGGAUAGUUGCAUUUUCAAUUUCUUGUUUUUCUUUUCAAAAAGGAUAAUUAUUCUACCUUAUUACCAUAUUUAUAAAAAUGACACAUGCUUAUGAUAAAAUUCAAGCGAUGUGGAAAAAUCUAAAUGAAAAAGAGGGAAAAUUGCCCAAUUCUCUGGGCACCCAGAAAUAACCAUUAAGGGCUUUAGAAAUUUCAUACACCUGUCUGAGCAUACAUGCAAACAGAAAAACAAGACAGACACAGAGAAAAUAUGAGAUCACACUGUACCUAAUCAUUUUAUUAAAAAUGCUAACUAUAAUUUUACUUCAAUUUAUCAUAAAGAACAAGCUAAAGGAGAUUGAAAUGAUUGAUAAAUAUUUCUCGCUUCACCGCCAGAGGUAACAACUCCUAAAAGAUCCCCGUAAAAUUAAGAAAAAUUAGUGUGUAAAAAUUAAGUGGUUGGGAUUGUUAUGGUUUUUAACUAUUUCAGUUUCAGUCCUAGUUCAGAAAGAUAAAGAAGUCAGCACUCUUAUUCUUUGCUUAUUAUCUCCUGCUUUUUCUCAGUUAUAUAUUUUAAUUUUACAUAAUUAAUAUCUGCAAUUUGUUCUAGAACUAUAAUUCUUGCAAGUGUUUAGCCAUAGUCCUAUAUUUAAAUGAAUUCAUUUCUGACCACAAGGUUGGUUUGUUUGUUUUAACUGAGGUUUCUCCAUUCUUUAGUUUUCAACUUUAAUUUGUCUCUCAGUGGAAUUGAUCUUAUUGUUUCUGUGAGAAUAGCUCAUAGACACUACCCUUGAGUUCUGGUGCAUUUACGAAUAUGUAUCUCUUUCUUUUAUGCAUAAGGGACAGCUUAGCUAGGUAUAAAAGUCUCAGCCUACUUGUUUUUUCUCAGAAAUUUAUAGCUGUUGUCCACUGUCUUUUGCAUUGAGGCUUUCACUAGCUGUCUUAAUGUGGCUUCUCCAUGUAGCCCUUACUUACCUGGACUAUUUUAUGUAGUGAUCUUCACAAACCUUGUUAGAAACACUUUGGGAUACUAUGUUCUGUGAGGUAUUUCAUCUUUGAGAAUGUCUGACCAUUGCUUUUACACCUUUUCUCAUCUGUCCAUUUCUUUUCAUGCUGUUCUAUUUGGCCUUUAAAGAUAUGUAUUGUACAAUUUCUUUCAGCUUUAGGGAUACAAGCCCCUUUCUUUGUUGAAUCUAUUGACUCUCAUGAUGGUGCUUUUCUUUGUGGUUUUUGUAGCUUUGUGUUGUGAGGUUAUCAUCAGUUGAGCACUAAGGUGUUUCUGUUUUGUUUCAAUCCCUAUGUACAUGAGUUUGCAUUUGGUUCUGCCUGGCACCCCAAGGAAUUUACCAGUUGGUGCCAGUUUUCUAACUCAUUUUGUUGGCUUACGGAUUCCCAGACAUAUGGUUGGCAUAAGUCUUCACCAUAUCUUUGUCCUGAAGCUUUGGUAUCUCACAGGAGACCUCUUUCUAUCCACUCCCUAAAAAUGACAAAUGCUCUUAUCAUCCCUGGCUAUUAUAAAAUUUUCUGGUUCCCUUUUCCAUUCCUAGAUCAACUUCUCCUGGACCCACGGUCAUGUCUUUUUAUUCUGCUUAUACUUGAACUUGACUAUAGACUCUUGGAGCCUCUAGCCAGCACAGCACCCCUUAGGUCCCUUAGUAGGAGGUUGCAAACAUGUUGCUCUGAACUCGUUUUUUUCAUUAACACCUGAGGGUUUUGCCUUUCAGUUGUAUGUUUAUUUGGGAAUUGAUUUUGGCUGUGGUUGCAUUUUAUCCAACACUUCUCAACAUUUUUGGAGGAGAGGGUUCCUUACCAGCGCUUGUUGCUGGGAUGGAGCCUUUGAGCUGAAUGAUGGGUGAACUUGGCAUGACAUUCUUGGCUCCCAGUUUCUUCCCUCUGAACUUUGUAAACUUUGCUCCAUUGCUUUCUGGUAUUAAACCACGGUUGUGGACAAGCCUGGGGACAGUUUCUUUCCCCUUGGAUGGAUGAACUUUUUUUUUCCUACUUAGAUUUCCUGAUUCUUUCUUUAGUCUUGAAUAUUGGUGACUUUACCGGGUUAUGACUCAAUCGCUAUUUUUAUUCAUUAGUUUUUCUGAAUCAUAGUAUGCCUUCUUGAUGAGUAGAUUUAAUCAUUCCUUUGUUUUGAGGAUUUAUUCAUGUUAUGAGCACUUUUCUACUCCAGUAGUUGGUCUUUUCUUCGGUGAAAUAAUCUGUUUUGUUCAUUUCAUUAUGUGCUGGAGGAGAAGAAAGUCUGUCAUCUGGCCCCUUGCUGCCAUCUCUGUCUGCACAUCAGUCUGUUGUCAUUUGCACUGUGCAUUUGUCUAUUUAAAACAAUCCUACACAGAUGCCCCCUCCUCAGUGUCACCUUCCACCCUGGCAGGAUGCCUUAUGGCAAUGCCCACUUCUGAGAUAGUCGUGGGAGCCAGCCCCACUGGCCAGGUAUGUGAAUUUUCUGUUAACAAUGGAAGAUUUUGAAAAACCAUAUAUGCUGUACCAUUAACCCCAAGCAUACAAUCUAUCCUUAGGAAGACUUCCUGGAAAUUAUGCUCACCUUUGGGGAUGAGGCCAUGAUUCUGAGCUUUGGAGGACUUCCUGGACACAAGGCCUGUGUAAGGAAAGGAUUGUUACUGUCAGCCUCGAUGCUAAUGUGAGAUAAGGGAAUGUAUCCUGCUCUGAUCCAAAUGCCGAGUUUCUGUGCACUUGGCCUCUCCACCAUCAAGCUCCCUGGAAGUGCUUCUCAGGCGUGCACCCACCUUGGCUAAGGCGUUGAGGUCUGGGUGGCUGCAGGGUCCAGGAUGGGAUGGUUGAAUAUGGGGCGUGUGCUUUCUUUUCAACCCUCUUGCAGUCAGUCUGCUAACCCUCAAUGUUCACUGUCUCCUAGGGGGACUUCCUGGAGGAGGCCAACUUUGGAGAAGAGGCACUGACACCGGGUCUGUGCUAGCGUGAGGUACUUGAAGAUAGGUUAUCCGUGUUGCCUUCGCUUUAUUUGUGACGAAUCAUACACGGUUGACCUAUUUUUCAGUACCAAAUCCCGCCUUGGAGGGCUUCCUGGAGCGGAAUCUCACUUCAGGGCAGGACCUUGGUGUCAGCUCCUCUCCA